CACGGAGUUAGCCGGGGCUUCUUCUGCUGGUACAGUCAUUAUCUUCCCAGCUGAAAGAUCUUUACAACCCUAAGGCCUUCAUCGAUCACGCGGCAUGGCUAGAUCAGGCUUGCGCCCAUUGUCUAAGAUUCCCCACUGCUGCCUCCCGUAGGAGUCUGGGCCGUGUCUCAGUCCCAGUGUGGCUGAUCAUCCUCUCAAACCAGCUAUGGAUCGUCGGCUUGGUGAGCCGUUACCUCACCAACUACCUAAUCCAACGCGGGCCGAUCUCUUGCCGAUAAAACUCUUUCCCCCGUAGGGCACAUACGGUAUUACUCCCAGUUUCCCGAGGCUAUUCCGUAGCAAGAGGCACGUUCCCACGCGUUACUCACCCGUCCGCCGCUAGGUCCGAAGACCUCGCUCGACUUGCAUGUGUUAGGCCUGCCGCCAGCGUUCGUUCUGAGCCAGGAUCAAACUC
rnacentral:rRNA from 1 species